rnacentral:tRNA from 2 species
GAGCGCGUAGCUCAGUCGGUAGAGCAACUGACUUUUAAUCAGUAGGUCCAGGGUUCGAAUCCCUGCGCGCUCA